rnacentral:rRNA from 2 species
GCGAACGGGUGAGUAACACGUGGGUGAUCUGCCUCGUACUUCGGGAUAAGCCUGGGAAACUGGGUCUAAUACCGGAUAUGACCUUCGGAUGCAUGUCUGAGGGUGGAAAGAUUUAUCGGUACGAGAUGGGCCCGCGGCCUAUCAGCUUGUUGGUGGGGUAAUGGCCUACCAAGGCGACGACGGGUAGCCGGCCUGAGAGGGCGACCGGCCACACUGGGACUGAGACACGGCCCAGACUCCUACGGGAGGCAGCAGUGGGGAAUAUUGCACAAUGGGCGAAAGCCUGAUGCAGCGACGCCGCGUGAGGGAUGACGGCCUUCGGGUUGUAAACCUCUUUCGACAGGGACGAAGCGCAAGUGACGGUACCUGUAGAAGAAGCACCGGCCAACUACGUGCCAGCAGCCGCGGUAAUACGUAGGGUGCGAGCGUUGUCCGGAAUUACUGGGCGUAAAGAGCUUGUAGGCGGUUCGUCGCGUCGUUCGUGAAAACUUGGGGCUCAACCCCAAGCUUGCGGGCGAUACGGGCGGACUAGAGUACUUCAGGGGAGACUGGAAUUCCUGGUGUAGCGGUGAAAUGCGCAGAUAUCAGGAGGAACACCGGUGGCGAAGGCGGGUCUCUGGGAAGUAACUGACGCUGAGAAG